rnacentral:rRNA from 1 species
AGAGUUUUGAUCCUGGCUCAGAGCGAACGUUAGCGGCAGGCUUAACACAUGCAAGUCGAGCGACAAAGGGGCUUCGGCCCUGAGUAGAGCGGCGGACGGGGUGCGUAACACGUGGAUAAUCUGCCUCGUGGGGGCGGGGGAUAACAGUCCGAAAGGACUGCUAAUACCGCAUGUCAGGUCGGAAACCCCGGUUUUCUGACGAAAAAAGAGGGGCGCCCCGCAAGGGGGCUCUCACCACGAGAUGAGUCCGCGGCCCAUCAGCUAGUUGGCGGUGUAAUAGACCACCAAGGCUAAGACGGGUAGCUGGUCUGAGAGGAUGACCAGCCACACUGGGACUGAGACACGGCCCAGACUCCUACGGGAGGCAGCAGUGGGGGAAUAUUGGACAAUGGGCGAAAGCCUGAUCCAGCCAUGCCGCGUGAGUGAUGAAGGUC